ensembl:snoRNA AC111292.6
UUUGCCUGUGACAUUGGGGCAAAGAGCAAGUGGCUAUUUCUACGCUCAGUGUUCAGAAGCCAGUGAGCACUAAGAAUGGUUUGUAGCCUGACAUU